rnacentral:rRNA from 1 species
UGGGGAAUUUUGGACAAUGGGCGAAAGCCUGAUCCAGCAAUGCCGCGUGUGUGAAGAAGGCCUUCGGGUUGUAAAGCACUUUUGUCCGGAAAGAAAUCCUUGGCUCUAAUACAGUCGGGGGAUGACGGUACCGGAAGAAUAAGCACCGGCUAACUACGUGCCAGCAGCCGCGGUAAUACGUAGGGUGCAAGCGUUAAUCGGAAUUACUGGGCGUAAAGCGUGCGCAGGCGGUUUGCUAAGACCGAUGUGAAAUCCCCGGGCUCAACCUGGGAACUGCAUUGGUGACCGGCAGGCUAGAGUAUGGCAGAGGGGGGUAGAAUUCCACGUGUAGCAGUGAAAUGCGUAGAGAUGUGGAGGAAUACCGAUGGCGAAGGCAGCCCCCUGGGCCAAUACUGACGCUCAUGCACGAAAGCGUGGGGAGCAAACAGGAUUAGAUACCCUGGUAGUCCACGCCCUAAACGAUGUCAACUAGUUGUUGGGGAUUCAUUUCCUUAGUAACGUAGCUAACGCGUGAAGUUGACCGCCUGGGGAGUACGGUCGCAAGAUUAAAAACUCAAAGGAAUUGACGGGGUCAUAGCUGUUUCCUG